rnacentral:rRNA from 1 species
AAAUUUUAAAUGGCCGCAGUAUUUUGACUGUGCAAAGGUAGCAUAAUCAUUAGUUUCUUAAUUAGAAGUUUGUAUGAAAGGUUGGAUGAGAAAGUUACUGUCUCUAUUUAAAUUUAUUAGAAUUUUAUAUUUAAGUAAAAAAGCUUAAAUACAUAUAGAAGACGAGAAGACCCUAUAGAGUUUUAUAUUAUUAUUAUUUAUAUCUUUUAGUAUUAUAAUUAUAUAAUUAGUUAUAUAUUUGAUUGGGGUGAUUAAAAAAUUUAUUGAACUUUUUUUGUAUUAUUUCAUUAAUUUAUGAAUUAUUGAUCCUUAAUUUAAGAUUAAAAGAAUAAAUUACCUUAGGGAUAACAGCGUAAUUUUUUUUAAGAGUUCUAAUCAAAAAAAAAGUUUGC